ensembl:snoRNA
UUUCUGUGACGAUACCUUUGUCCAGUUCUGCUACUGAGUAAAGUGAUGCAGCUUGACGACUCUGAGGAAG